UACGGAAGGCAGCAGUGGGGAAUAUUGCACAAUGGGCGGAAGCCUGAUGCAGCUAUGCCGCGUGUAUGAAGAAGGCCUUAGGGUUGUAAAGUACUUUCAUCGGGGAGGAAAAAACAAAACUAAUAAUUUUAUUUCUUGACGUUACCCGAAAAAGAAGCACCGGCUAACUCCGUGCCAGCAGCCGCGGUAAUACGGAGGGUGCUAGCGUUAAUCAGAAUUACUGGGCGUAAAGAGCACGUAGGUGGUUUUUUUAAGUCAGAUGUGAAAUCCCUGGGCUUAACCUAGGAACUGCAUUUUGAAACUGAAAUACUAGAGUAUCGUAGAGGGAGGUAGAAUUCUAGGUGUAGCGGUGAAAUGCGUAGAUAUCUGGAGGAAUACCUGUGGCGAAAGCGGCCUCCUAAACGAAUACUGACACUGAGGUGCGAAAGCGUGGGGAGCAAACAGGGAUUAGAUACC
rnacentral:rRNA from 1 species